rnacentral:antisense_RNA from 1 species
ACGUGCACAACGUUCCUGCGUCAUGGGCAGACAAACCAAACCACGGGCGUGGGUAACCAUAAAGUUAAUCGCUUCCGGCGUAACAUGCUCCGCCGCCAUGAUGA